rnacentral:tRNA from 1 species
AGCAAGAUGGCUGAGUUUAGGUGUUAGACUGUAAAUUUAAUGACGGGUUUCCCCUCUUGUUA